UGCGCAGGCGGAACUUUAAGUCAGUGGUGAAAUCUUGCCGCUUAACGGUAAAAUUGCCAUUGAUACUGAAGUUCUUGAAUAUGGUUAAGGUAGGCGGAAUGUGUUGUGUAGCGGUGAAAUGCAUAGAUAUGACACAGAACUCCGAUUGCGAAGGCAGCUUACUAAACCAUUAUUGACGCUGAGGCACGAAAGCGUGGGGAGCAAACAGGAUUAGAUACCCUGGUAGUCC
rnacentral:rRNA from 1 species